rnacentral:rRNA from 1 species
CAUGCAGGCGGUUCGUUAAGUCUGAUGUGAAAUCCCCGGGCUCAACCUGGGACGUGCAUUGGAAACUGGCGAUCUAGAGUACGGUAGAGGGUGGUGGAAUUCCCGGUGUAGCAGUGAAAUGCGUAGAGAGCGGGAGGAACACUCGUGGCGAAGGCGGCCACCUGGACCAGUACUGACGCUGAGGCACGAAAGCGUGGGGAGCAAACAGGAUUAGAUACCCGGGUA